GACGAACGCUGGCGGCGUGCUUAACACAUGCAAGUCGAACGGAAAGGCCCUGCUUUUGUGGGGUGCUCGAGUGGCGAACGGGUGAGUAACACGUGAGUAACCUGCCCUUGACUUUGGGAUAACUUCAGGAAACUGGGGCUAAUACCGGAUAGGAGCUCCUGCUGCAUGGUGGGGGUUGGAAAGUUUCGGCGGUUGGGGAUGGACUCGCGGCUUAUCAGCUUGUUGGUGGGGCAGUGGCUUACCAAGGCUUUGACGGGUAGCCGGCCUGAGAGGGUGACCGGCCACAUUGGGACUGCGAUACGGCCCAGACUCCUACGGGAGGCAGCAGUGGGGAAUAUUGCACAAUGGGCGGAAGCCUGAUGCAGCAACGCCGCGUGCGGGAUGACGGCCUUCGGGUUGUAAACCGCUUUCGCCUGUGACGAAGCGUGAGUGACGGUAAUGGGUAAAGAAGCACCGGCUAACUACGUG
rnacentral:rRNA from 1 species